rnacentral:rRNA from 1 species
CCCUUAGAUGUUCUGGGCUGCACGCGCGCUACACUGAUACUUUCAGCGAGUCCACCACCUUGCCUGGGAGGGUGGGGUAACCUUUUGAAAGUGCAUCGUGAUAGGGAUAGACUAUUGCAAUUAUUGGUCUUCAACGAGGAAUUCCUAGUAGACGUAGUUCAUCAGACUGCAUCGAUUACGUCCCUGCCCUUUGUACACACCGCCCGUCGCUCCUACCGAUUGAAUGCUCAGGUGAGCCAUUCGGACUUUCAUCAUGCUGGUUUCCAGUUUUGAUGAAGGAAAGUCUUGCGAACCUUAUCAUUUAGAGGAAGGAGAAGUCGUAACA